AUUGAACGCUAGCGGGAUGCUUUACACAUGCAAGUCGAACGAGUGUCGGUCUGGUGACUAAUAUAUCUGAACGUUCCCCGUAGCGGGGGAUAACUCCUCUAAAGAGUGGCUCAUACCGCCUACUUUUGUAGCGUCCGAUAUCGGAUUAGCUAGUUGGGGGGGUAAAGGCUCACCAAGGCAACGAUCCGUAGCUGGUUUGAGAGGACGACCAGCCACACUGGGACUGAGACACGGCCCAGACUCCUACGGGAGGCAUCAGUGGGGAAUUUUGGACAAUGGGGGAAACCCUGAUCCAGCCAUCCCGCGUGUAUGAGAAGGCCUUCGGGUUGUAAAGUACUUUUGGCAGAGAAGCGGUAGCUGAAGAAUAAGCAACGGCUAACUACGUGCCAGCAGCCGCGGUAAUUC
rnacentral:rRNA from 1 species